rnacentral:pre_miRNA from 1 species
CAUAUACUCCCUCCGUUCGGAAUUACUUGUCUCAGAAAUGGAUGUAUCUAGAACUAAAAUACGUCUAGAUACAUCCAUUUCUGGGACAAGUAAUUCCGAACGGAGGGAGUAUGAC